CAGAAAAAAAAAGAAGAAGCAAAAGCAGAACGAGGAGAAUCGGCACCGCAGAAACACUAAGAGGAGAGCGAGCAAGAGAGAACGCACCAAGCACAAAGAGAAACACGGAGGGAAGGAGAGGAGGAGAAAACCCCCCUUUGGCCGUUGAUCGCUGCGGUCGAUCGCCGCUGGAGGUGCCGGUUGCCUCCAACCCCACCGGAACUUCAGGAGGCAGAACAAACAG
rnacentral:lncRNA from 1 species